rnacentral:piRNA from 1 species
AUGGUAGUGAGUUAUCUCAAUUG